rnacentral:rRNA from 1 species
GACAGAGGGUGCAAACGUUGUUCGGAAUUACUGGGCGUAAAGCGCGUGUAGGCGGCCCUGCAAGUCGGAUGUGAAAUCCCACGGCUCAACCGUGGAAGUGCAUUCGAAACUGCAGGGCUAGAGUCCUGGAGAGGAAGGUGGAAUGCUUGGUGUAGAGGUGAAAUUCGUAGAUAUCAAGCGGAACACCGGUGGCGAAGGCGGCAUCCUGGACCGGUAUUGACGCUGAGGCGCGAAAGCCAGGGGAGCAAACGGG